rnacentral:rRNA from 1 species
AACGUAGGAGACAAACGUUAUCCGGAGUUACUGGGCGUAAAGGGCGUGUAGGUGGUUUCGUAAGUCUGGCGUGAAAUUUUUUCGGCUUAACCGGGAAAGGUCGUCGGAUACUGCGGAGCUAGAGGACGGUAGAGGCGUGUGGAAUUCCGGGUGUAGUGGUGAAAUGCGUAGAGAUCCGGAGGAACACCAGUGGCGAAGGCGACACGCUGGGCCGUACCUGACACUGAUGCGCGACAGCAUGGGGAGCAAACAGGAUUAGAAACUAGUAGUCA